ACGAACGCUGGCGGCAUGCCUAACACAUGCAAGUCGAACGAGACCUUCGGGUCUAGUGGCGCACGGGUGCGUAACGCGUGGGAACCUGCCCUUAGGUUCGGAAUAACUCCCCGAAAGGGGUGCUAAUACCGGAUAAUGUCUUCGGACCAAAGAUUUAUCGCCUUUGGAUGGGCCCGCGUUGGAUUAGCUAGUUGGUAGGGUAAAAGCCUACCAAGGCGACGAUCCAUAGCUGGUCUGAGAGGAUGAUCAGCCACACUGGGACUGAGACACGGCCCAGACUCCUACGGGAGGCAGCAGUGGGGAAUAUUGGACAAUGGGCGAAAGCCUGAUCCAGCAAUGCCGCGUGAGUGAUGAAGGCCUUAGGGUUGUAAGGCUCUUUUACCCGGGAUGAUAAUGACAGUACCGGGAGAAUAAGCUCCGGCUAACUCCGUG
rnacentral:rRNA from 1 species